GUUGUUAAUGAGGCUGAGUGCUAUUGUGCACAAGUUCCCAUUUUAAUUUGCACGAUGAACUCAACAGUAGAUAGUGCUGGUGGAGCUGGAAAGAGAAAGAAAAUCCGAACAACAUAACAGAAGCAUAAAGUACAAAACGAUUCAACACUCCCCGUCUCCAGUUGAACCCCCGUGCGUCGCUGUGAACUGCGAGUUCGGGUGGGUGCCGCUGCUGCCUGGCUGCUGAUAGAGGAAAAUCUACUCCCAGCGCUGGGACCCAGGUGUACCAGCAUUAAAAAAAUCGGCAGCCGUUUACCGGGGAGCCAGUGCUGCUAGCAAAGUAAACAAUGUUUCAUGUCGGAUCAAAAUGUUUGUUUAUACU